rnacentral:lncRNA from 1 species
CAUUUUGCAGUAGUGGGGGCUCACCCCCACCGGAGAAGUAGUACAGUCUGGCAGGGUGCCAAACAUCCCCACAGGCAUGAAGGUUCUUAGAGUCAUGCUAUACUGAAAAGACACUUGAUCAAGAGAACUCUGGGAGAAGCAGAAAACCCUGUGCCAGGGACAGGAAAGAUAGGACCAGACUGUCACUUUUUGAAGACUGUCCAAACACUGUAAGCAGUGAAUUAUCA